AGAGACAAUGUGGAGGCUAUAUACAGGGGGUACCGGUACAGAGUCAAUGUGGAGGCUAUAUACAGGGGGUACUGGUACAGAGUCAAUGUGGAGACUAUAUACAGGGGGUACUGGUACAGAGUCAAUGUGGAGACUAUAUACAGGGGUACUGGUACAGAGUCAAUGUGGAGGCUAUAUACAGGGGUACCGGUACAGAGUCAAUGUGGAGACUAUAUACAGGGGGUACUGGUACAGAGUCAAUGUGAAGGCUAUAUACAGGGGGUACCGGUACAGAGUCAAUGUGGAGGCUAUAUACAGGGGUACUGGUACAGAGUCAAUGUGGAGACUAAAUACAGGGUGUUACGGUACAGAGUCAAUGUGGAGACUAUAUACAGGGUGUUACGGUACAGAGUCAAUGUGGAGGCUAUAUACAGUGUGUUACGGUACAGAGUCAAUGUGGAGGCUAUAUACAG
ensembl:lncRNA